rnacentral:rRNA from 1 species
UAGCGUAGGGCGCAAGCGUUAUCCGGAAUUAUUGGGCGUAAAGAGCUCGUAGGCGGUUUGUCGCGUCUGCUGUGAAAACUCAGGGCUUAACCCUGAGCUUGCAGUGGGUACGGGCAGACUAGAGUGCGGUAGGGGAGACUGGAAUUCCUGGUGUAGCGGUGAAAUGCGCAGAUAUCAGGAGGAACACCGGUGGGCGAAGGCGGGAUCUC